AUGCAAUUUGUGUAAACAAUCUCGUGUGUGAGAUUUAGAGGAUGAGUCUAGAAAUGAUGUUCUAGAUCAUCUUCUCAUGAAUUGUAACUUUUGGUUAAGAAAUAAAGGAGUUUGGAGUUUGUUUCUUAACAAAUUUGCGGUGAGCGUGGAUCGAACACGCGACCUUCAGAUGAAUGGGUAUUGGUGCCAGAGAAGGUGUUAGAUACUCGUUACUCAGCUGAAGGUGUGUUAGAAGCGUUGGUUCAGUGGCAAGGCUUACCAACUCAUGAGACGUCAUGGGAAGUACUUACCGAGCUGCGGCAACAGUUUCCUGCAAUAGAGCUUGGGGACAAGCUGAGUUCCGAAGGGGGGGGGGGGUAUUGAUAAGCUCAAUAGGGUUUACGUGAGGAAGAAGAAAGCACUAAGUUCUGAUGAUUUAAAUGGUACAAAGGUUCUAGAAGCUACAGAAGGGACAGGUGGAGAAGAGGUUCUAGAAGCUGCUAGUGAGUCAGGUGGAUUAGAAGCAGCACAGAAAGUGUGACAGAGGACACGUCAGACGAAGGAAGAAUAAAGAAGAUAUUCUGAGGUAAUAUCCGCAUCUAUCUUUUACUGCUUUUUGGUUAUAAAUAGGUACUCUCAUUGUUUAGAGAGCUUUAUGCAAUUUGUGUAAACAAUCUCGUGUGUGAGAUUUAGAAGAUGAGUCUAGAAAUGAUGUUCUAGAUCAUCUUCUCAUGAAUUGUAACUUUUGGUUAAGAAAUAAAGGAGUUUGGAGUUUG